CGUGCACCAGUGGGGUCCCUCAGCCUGGCCUGCACCCUCUUGCAAUCAAGGACCCCUCAGGGGAUGUUGGAGAGCCGGUUUCAGUCCCAUCCUGCAGGCCAGGCUGAAGGACCCCACUGGUGCACA
rnacentral:pre_miRNA from 1 species